GGACUACCGGGGUAUCUAAUCCCAUUCGCUCCCCUGGCUUUCGUUCCUCAGCGUCAGUUAUGGCCCAGCUAGUCGCCUACGCCACCGGUGUUCUUCCCAAUAUCUACGCAUUUCACCGCUACACUGGGAAUUCCACUAGCCUCUACCACACUCCAGUCCGCCAGUAUCCAAUGCACUCCCAGGGUUGAGCCCCGAUCUUUAACAUCAGACUUAACGAACCGCCUACGAACUCUUUACGCCCAAUAAAUCCGGACAACGCUUGCAUCCUACGUCUUACCGCGGCUGCUGGCAC
rnacentral:rRNA from 1 species